CACACCCACGAAGACCUUUAUGAAAACUAAGGGCCAAAGGUGGAUUUAGCAGUAAAUUAAGAAUAGAGAGCUUAAUGGAACAUGGCAAUGAAG